rnacentral:rRNA from 1 species
GGANUGCNAAUGGGGGAACCCUGAUGCAGCGACGCCGCGUGAGCGAUGAAGCCCUUCGGGGUGUAAAGCUCUUUCGGCAGGAACGAUAAUGACGGUACCUGAAGAAGAAGCUGCGGCUAACUACGUGCCAGCAGCCGCGGUAAUACGUAGGCAGCAAGCGUUGUUCGGAGUUACUGGGCGUAAAGAGUGUGUAGGCGGUUUCGUAAGUUUGGUGUGAAAUCUCCCGGCUUAACUGGGAGGGUGCGCCGAAUACUGCGGGGCUCGAGUGCCGGAGAGGUAAGCGGAAUUCCUGGUGUAGCGGUGAAAUGCGUAGAUAUCAGGAGGAACACCGGUGGUGUAGACGGCUUACUGGACGGCCACUGACGCUGAGACACGAAAGCGUGGGUAGCAAACAGGAUUAGAUACCCUGGUAGUCCACGCCCUAAACGAUGCAUACUUGGUGUGAGCCAUUCAGUUGGUUCGUGCCGGAGCUAACGCGUUAAGUAUGCCGCCUGGGGAGUACGGUCGCAAGGCUGAAACUCAAAAAAAUUGACGGA